rnacentral:rRNA from 1 species
GACGAACGCUGGCGGCGUGCUUAACACAUGCAAGUCGAACGAUGAAGCUGGAGCUUGCUCCGGUGGAUUAGUGGCGAACGGGUGAGUAACACGUGAGCAAUCUGCCCUUGACUCUGGGAUAACUGCGGGACACUGUAGCUAAUACCGGAUACGAGAUUUGGAGGCAUCUCCGGAUCUGGAAAGAAUUUCGGUCAAGGAUGAGCUCGCGGCCUAUCAGCUUGUUGGUGAGGUAAUGGCUCACCAAGGCGACGACGGGUAGCCGGCCUGAGAGGGUGUCCGGCCACACUGGGACUGAGCCACGGCCCAGACUCCUACGGGAGGCAGCAGUGGGGAAUAUUGCACAAUGGGCGAAAGCCUGAUGCAGCAACGCCGCGUGAGGGAUGAAGGCCUUCGGGUUGUAAACCUCUUUUAGUAGGGAAGAAGCGAAAGUGACGGUACCUACAGAAAAAGCACCGGCUAACUACGUGCCAGCCGCCGCCGUAA